UCAGUACAUGAUGUGGUUAAUCUUUGUCCAUUUUAAUAUUAUGUGUUUGCCAUAUGUGUUGUAAAUUCAGUUAUAUCGCUAGGGGCCCGCUCAAUGGGUCCAGGACUUCACCGUCCUUGGUAUGCCACAAUGCGAUUUCAUGUUACAGUUAAGGUUGCAACCUAUUCGCCAGGGGCCCGCUCAAUGGAUCCAGGACAUUAAAGUCCUUGGUUUUAAAGGCCGGAGGCGCGUGGAAGGUCGAAUGGCGAGGCAAAUAUUUUGAAUUUAGCAUUACUUAAAAAUGUUAUUUUAAGUAAACUAUGUUUAAAUAAAAAUUUAUUUCCUUAUUUUCUCAUUAAAUAUUUAUUUAUAUUCA